rnacentral:rRNA from 1 species
UACGUAGGGCGCAAGCGUUGUCCGGAAUUAUUGGGCGUAAAGAGCUCGUAGGCGGUUUGUCGCGUCUGCUGUGAAAACCUAAGGCUCAACCUUGGGCUUGCAGUGGGUACGGGCAGACUAGAGUGCGGUAGGGGUGACUGGAAUUCCUGGUGUAGCGGUGGAAUGCGCAGAUAUCAGGAGGAACACCGAUGGCGAAGGCGGGUCUCUGGGCAGUAACUGACGCUGAGGAGCGAAAGCGUGGGGAGCGAACAGG